GUGAAGAACGUAGCGAAAUGCGAUAAGUAAUGUGAAUUGCAGAAUUCAGUGAAUCAUCGAAUCUUUGAACGCACAUUGCGCCCCCUGGUAUUCCGGGGGGCAUGCCUGUCCGAGCGUCAUUACAACCCUCAAGCUCUGCUUGGUGUUGGGCCCCGCCGCCCCGGCGGGCCCUAAAGUCAGUGGCGGUGCCAUCCGGCUCCGAGCGUAGUAAUUCUUCUCGCUCUGGAGGUCCGGUUGUGUGCUUGCCAUCAACCCCCAAUUUUUUUCAGGUUGACCUCGGAUCAGGUAGGGAUACCCGCUGAACUUAAGCAUAUCAAUAAGCGGAGGA
rnacentral:misc_RNA from 1 species